CCCUUAGAUGUUCUGGGCCGCACGCGCGCUACACUGACGAAGUCAGCGAGCAUGUCCUACGCCGACAGGUGCGGGGAAUCUUGUCAAACUUCGUCGUGAUGGGGAUUGAUUAUUGAACUUCUUGAUCAUCAACGAGGAAUUCCUAGUAAGCGCAAGUCAGCAGCUUGCGUUGAUUACGUCCCUGCCCUUUGUACACACCGCCCGUCGCUACUACCGAUUGAAUGGUUUAGUGAGAUCUUCGGAUUGGCGCCACUGCGGCUCAGCAAUGGGCUCGGUGGAUGCCGAAAAGUUGAUCAAACUUGAUCAUUUAGAGGAAGUAAAAGUCGUAACA
rnacentral:rRNA from 1 species